rnacentral:rRNA from 1 species
GGGGGGGGGGGGGGGGGGGGCGGGGGGGGGCGGGGCGGGCGGCGGCGCGGUGGGGGCUUGCUCUUGCGGGUGGCGGGUGGCGGACGGGUGAGGGAUACAUCGGGAUCUACUUUUUCGUGGGGGCUGGCGUAGGGCAACUUACGCUAAUACCGCAUACGACCUACGGGUGAAAGCAGGGGAUCUUCGGACCUUGCGCGAUUGAAUGCGCCGAUGUCGGAUUAGCUAGUUGGCGGGGUAAAGGCCCACCAAGGCGACGAUCCGUAGCUGGUCUGAGAGGAUGAUCAGCCACACUGGAACUGAGACACGGUCCAGACUCCGACGGGAGGCAGCAGUGGGGAAUAUUGGACAAUGGGCGCAAGCCUGAUCCAGCCAUACCGCGUGGGUGAAGAAGGCCUUCGGGUUGUAAAGCCCUUUUGUUGGGAAAGAAAAGCAGCAGGUUAAUACCCCGCUGUUCGGACGGUACCCAAAGAAUAAACACCGGCGAACUUCGU